CUAGGAAAUAAUCAUGGUUGCUGACUUGGUUGCCAACUUUUAUUUUAAAUUUCUGAGGUUAUGACUGUGAAUUUUACAAAGUGUUUCUUUUUCAGGCCCUCCAGUAGAUCCAGCCUACCUGAGACAUUUUCUGAACAGCUUGAAGGGGGAGAAUGGAGACAGGGGGCUCAAAGGAGAAAAAGGAGACUCUAAUGGCGACUUCUUGGUGUCAGGCCCUCCUGGCCUGCCGGGAAAUCCAGGCCUGGUUGUGAGUAGUGACGCGUCCACGUCGUCUUCCUCAAUGAGUCACGGCUUUCCCUGGUGCCCCCUGAGGUGCCUAGGCAGAUGGGGAGCAGGGUUCAGUCACAGCACCAUAGCUGGAGGCAGGCCUGGGCUUCAGCCUCCCUCCCCCAUACUUGUUUACUGAUGGGGAGCUUGGCUGGAGCCCACGGAGGAAAGGAGCUGGCCAAGACCAUAUCCAUUCAGGUGACUACCAGGUCAUUAACCACACUGCCUUACUCAUGUCAAUGGUGGACAGUUCCCUUAACACGAGGAGUUAUUAAUGGUGAGCACAUCAGAUCAUGGAGGCAGAAGGGAAGGUGUGGGAGAUAUUUUUAGAGGGGCUAUUUGAUUCUUCUGCAACGUCAUCAGAGAAGGAGUCCCUAGAUAGGCUCCGUCUUCUAAGGAUGCGAAGUUUCUCCAGGUCACUAAAGAGAAAUGCAAGUUAUGCCUCCAACAAGCUUAUGACGGGAUCUUUGACCCUCAGGCAUCACGAGCAAACUCUAGUCCCAGAGCUCACCCUGCGGGUAGACCCAGCAAAGCCAGCAGACCAGGGUUCCACUUCCGGUUCUGCUGCUAAUUUGCAUUGAGACCUUGGGCGAGAGUUUUCUCCUCUCUAGGCCUCAGUUUCUUCAUCUGUGAAGUGCAAAGGCUAAACUAGGUGAUCUCUAGGGCCCUUCUGAGUCCAGGGUUCUCUGGGGUUCUCUGGAGUGUCAUUCAACAUAAUGACUGAGCUGCUGCUCACCUGAAUUGUGCCCAGGAUUGAGGAUAAUGAUAACAAUAGCUGGUGUUUAUUGACUUCUUACAAAUGUCCUCAUAAAGAAUGGACAGGACUUCUGGUGGUUAAUGCUGUUUUCUCUCUUCUGCUACUGUGCACUUGCCUUGACAGGGCCAGAAAGGGGAGACCGUCAUCGGGCCCCAGGGACCCCCGGGUGCUCCUGGCCUGCCUGGGCCACCUGGAUUUGGAAGACCUGGUUCCCCUGGGCCACCGGGACCCCCAGGGCCACCAGGACCUCCGGCUAUCCUGGGAGCAGGUUAGUACUGUGGGUGGUGCCCUCCUUUAUGCAGCCCCUGCUGUUCUGCUCAGGGUCACCACAUCUGGGUGGCAUGUCAGAGCCACAGUGAC
rnacentral:lncRNA from 1 species